rnacentral:rRNA from 1 species
AUUGAACGCUGGCGGCAUGCCUUACACAUGCAAGUCGAACGGUAACAGGUCUUCGGAUGCUGACGAGUGGCGAACGGGUGAGUAAUACAUCGGAACGUGCCCGAUCGUGGGGGAUAACGAGGCGAAAGCUUUGCUAAUACCGCAUACGAUCUACGGAUGAAAGCGGGGGAUCUUCGGACUUCGCGCGGACUGAGCGGCCGAUGGCAGAUUAGGUAGUUGGUGGGAUAAAAGCUUACCAAGCCGACGAUCUGUAGCUGGUCUGAGAGGAUGAUCAGCCACACUGGGACUGAGACACGGCCCAGACUCCUACGGGAGGCAGCAGUGGGGAAUUUUGGACAAUGGGCGAAAGCCUGAUCCAGCCAUGCCGCGUGCAGGAUGAAGGCCUUUGGGUUGUAAACUGCUUUUGUACGGAACGAAAAGCUUCGUUCUAAUAAAGAGGGGUCAUGACGGUACCGGAAGAAUAAGCACCGGCUAACUACGUG